rnacentral:sRNA from 1 species
ACAAAGGAAGGCAGCUUAGGAUCGCGACAUCCUGUCGCAACAGCUGCAUGACCCACGUCCUGUGG